AUGUUGGGAAGACUACUCUGGCUAAGGCUGUGUUCAAUGUCCCCUAAAAAAAGGCUGUGUUCAAUGAACCCACAGUAUCGGAGGAUUUUGAUAUACUAUUGUGGGUCUAUGUCGCUGCCUAUUGUUUUUUUCGAAACGGAAGCUGUCUAUUGUGGGUUAUACACGCAAUGUUGGAGUCCUUACUAG
rnacentral:rRNA from 1 species